GUCAGGAAUAUUGCGCAAUGGAGGAAACUCUGACGCAGCGACGCCGCGUGGGUGAUGAAGGCCUUCGGGUCGUAAAGCCCUGUCGGAGGGGAAGAAAAGUUGUCUGGCUAAUAUCCAGAUGACCUUUGACGGUACCCUCAAAGGAAGCACCGGCUAACUCCGUGCCAGCAGCCGCGGUAAGACGGAGGGUGCAAGCGUUGUUCGGAUUGACUGGGCGUAAAGGGCGUGUAGGCGGUUUGUCAAGUCGGGUGUGAAAGCCUGGGGCUCAGCCCCAGAAGUGCAUCCGAAACUAGCAAGCUAGAGCGCGAUAGAGGAGGGUGGAAUUCCUGGUGUAGCGGUGAAAUGCGUAGAUAUCAGGAGGAACACCGGCGGCGAAGGCGGCCCUCUGGAUCGUUGCUGACGCUGAGACGCGAAAGCGUGGGGAGCAAACAGGAUUAGAAACCCUGGUAGUCC
rnacentral:rRNA from 1 species